rnacentral:lncRNA from 1 species
AUCUUCUUCCUGUAUUGUGGAUGGGAAAGGAAAGUACGAAGAAUACCAUGAGAGUUACUUGAAGAUAGACAAGAGUAAAACCCUGGGCAAAGGUGUUCACAAGGAUCCUAGUGGUCUCUCUGUUCUCACCGGAAACAGCAAGAAGAACCUAAUGAACCAUGCGAGCUUCAAAGGCUUGAAGGAACAGAAACGGAACUCUCAGGAGAAAACCUUGAAAUCCAGCCUGAGCAGAUUGAUGCCAACGGUUAGUUUCAACGACAAGACUCUAAACUCACCCACAUCUCAGAAGCGAAAAUCUGCUGUUUAUCGGCUUUCUUUCAAGAGGAGAUCAUGCGACGGUGAGGAAGUUACAGAGCAGCGUAAGCUGUUGUACCGUCCGAAGGCGGGUUUCACCAUCCCUUGCUCUUCCAGAGAGAAGCAGUCCAGUGGAAGCUGGUGUGAGAUACCACCUUCAACUUUUAAACUCCGUGGAGAAACCUAUUUCAAGUACACCCUUUCACCACUCUGUUAUAUGUAUCUUUUCUAUAGAAACUGUUUGGUCUGUAACUGUUGAGGAAUGGUGUUUGCAGAGACAAAAAGAAAUCUCCAGCUCCGAAUCAGUGUGCAUACACUCCUAUUGGCGUUGACUUGUUUGUCUGUCCAAAGAAGAUUGAUCAUAUCGCCCAACACAUCGAGCUUCCAAACAUUAAAGCUGAGGCAAAGCUCCCUGCGCUUCUCGUUGUCAACAUUCAGGUAACCACCACUGAGAUACUAAUGCCUACUUCGUUAUUGGUUUGUCGCAAACUUUUUGAUUGUAUCAUGUUCAUAAGAAGCGUGUAAAUGGCUGUUUUGAUAUGCAUAUAUGUGUAAAUGAUCCUGACCUUUGCGUUUUGUUGGCAGUUACCAACCUAUCCUGCUGCAAUGUUCCUUGGAGAUAGUGAUGGAGAAGGCAUGAGCAUUGUACUUUACUUUAAAUUACAAGAAAAUUUCGAAAGGGAAACCUCUCAGCAGUAUCAGGACAACAUCAAGGUAGCCUUCACAAUUAUCACAUCUCGUGAUUGAUCGCUUACUUCUUGUUUGUUUGUUCGUCUCCCCUGAAACGAAACAGAAACUUGUGGAUGAUGAGGUGGAGAAGGUGAAGGGGUUUGCGAAAGACAGCACUGUAGCUUUCCGUGAGAGGCUUAAGAUCGUGGCUGGACUUGUUAACCCCGAAGAUCUAACUCUAGGCUCGACUGAGAAGAAAAGCUUCCCUUUUGCGUCAUUGCUAUCCGUGCCCGGAUCCGAAAUCUUCGGGUUUCAAAACUAUCUUCUUUUCAUCGGAGAUUAACGACGGGAAGAUUCUUCCCCUUUUCUCCUCAGAUUAAAAAAAAAAACAACAACAAAGGGAAGAUUCUUCCCCUUUAUCAUGUUUCCUUUUUCCAGGUAUAAUCUCUCUAAUUAGAUUCAUCAGUUUCGAAUCUUGUUUUUGUCGUACAUUCUCGUUUGGAUCUGUUCUUAUUGUAGAGCUACGGAUCGAUCAUGAUCUUUACCAGAUUCAGCACUUUCAUGUUUGUUCCUUCCUAACUUUUGCAUGCGAUGACAAAAAAAAUUGUAAAUUAUAGUAUUUGCUAUUGUCUCCUGAUCGAUGUUGACGUUUAUAGUUAUAUGUUCAAACUAUAAGAGCUUGUUAACAUCAAAGUUUGUUUCUUUGAGACAUCUCUGAUUAGGUUUUAAUGUAAUCGUGUGUGCUUUGUUGUAAAACAACCUGGUGAAUCGAUCGAUGAUUACAAAUAUGUUUUUUACGUUUUUUUAGAUUUAGUAUAAUAAUCCAAUAAUGAGAUUUGUUGAUGCAUGUUGUUGUUCCCCACUUCCUCUUAUAAUUGUUUUUAAUCAUCUACACUUUUUUGAGCUGGCUACUACUACUAAUAUUUUAUUAGUUGAAGGAUCUUGUAUUGACUUGGUAUUUGAUUUUUUUUCAAAACUUGCUUGGUCCCAAUGUUGUUAAUAAAGACAGAAAGUGACAACCAGUUUCUGUAUGUGAGGAGGGAUGUAUCUGCUUAGCUCUCUCUCUCUCUUUCCAAAACCUGUGUUUGUUUUUUUUAUUGAUGCAUAUAUGUUAUUAGAAGCAUUGGCCUUUUCAUGAGUUUUUCUUUCUUUCUUGAAGCAGGAUCUAAAGUAAAAUUAUAUAAAUAAUGGGUGGGUGUGUGUCAACCCAUUCAAGAGGGAUUAGGCGGCCUCGGCGUAAAGGCCGUCGCAGGUCUUCCAAACAUUUUUCUAAAGUAUCUGACAUUGUUCCUCAUGCAAAUACUAGAAGGUCUAGUGACGUUGUGAGCCGAGUUUCUUUCGGUGAGUCUUUCUUUUUAUCUAGCAUUGGUUAGAUCAUAUUGUUUCUCAUUUUGUUGAUCGCUCGAAAUGAUCAUAGCUGGACAGUAGUAGAUUUUUUUUACCUGUAGAAUUUCGUUUUGUUGCAGCUACCUCGCAGGAUGAUGCAUGGUUUGACUCUGUCAGUGUUCUAGAUUCUGAUGACGAUGAGGACUUCGUCAGCCUACCUGAAGGUAAAUGUCAAUCUAUAUUAAUACAGAGAACCAAUUUUGCUUAUGUAGAUAUAGAUCUAAAUCUUUUUGUCUCUCUUUUUUGCCAUCUCUCGCCCAGCAGAUAACGUAUCAUCACCGGGUGGUGCGGCCGGCAAUAUCCCAAAUGGUCAAGUAGUUCAAUUUGAAUCUUCUUCCUGUAUUGUGGAUGGGAAAGGAAAGUACGAAGAAUACCAUGAGAGUUACUUGAAGAUAGACAAGAGUAAAACCCUGGGCAAAGGUGUUCACAAGGAUCCUAGUGGUCUCUCUGUUCUCACCGGAAACAGCAAGAAGAACCUAAUGAACCAUGCGAGCUUCAAAGGCUUGAAGGAACAGAAACGGAACUCUCAGGAGAAAACCUUGAAAUCCAGCCUGAGCAGAUUGAUGCCAACGGUUAGUUUCAACGACAAGACUCUAAACUCACCCACAUCUCAGAAGCGAAAAUCUGCUGUUUAUCGGCUUUCUUUCAAGAGGAGAUCAUGCGACGGUGAGGAAGUUACAGAGCAGCG